CUUCCCUGUAUAAAUUAAAUCAGUUUUAUACAGAAGGUUGAGAACAAAGUCGGGAUAGAGCAUGCAGGUAAAAAACGGGACAUGUAUGGUAACCCUUCUGAUUGAUGUUCCAAACAGCAGCUUGAUUCUGCCCUACCUAGCCAAGCGGAUAGUCACUUAAUUUAGAGUGAAUCUGGUCAAUGCUUAGCAUAGUUUAAUUUGUGGACUUUUAUACAUAUGCACACACACACAUCUCAAUCUUUUGGAAUACAUGCAGGAAAAUGAGGAAAAAAUAGAUUAAAUGUUUGAUUUGUGCAUAUUCUUGGAAUUUUCUGAAACUAAAUGAAAAAACAAAAAAAAAAAACAUGACACA